GUGCAGGUGUGUAGGUGUGCACCUGUGUAUAGAGGCCGAAGGACAACACGGGUGUCAUUCCUCAGUGGGGUUUGCCAAACUCUGAGGGGACAAGCCUGAUGGAGACCUCUAAUUUAGACACUCUGCAUAAUGUCUGGCUGUGGAUCUCUGCAACCUGCUGUCAUCUGCUGCCAGAGGAAGCCUCUCUUAUUACAACUGGACAAGGCGCAAUGUGGUGGAUUGCAUCGACUUGUUUUCGUAUGUUGAGACGUCCCUGCAUCUCUGGAAUGAUAUCUAUUUGAUCACCGUGGAUGACUUUUUUGAUGUGUUCUUGGAUUUGAUUUGCAAGUACCUAAUGAGUAGUUUUGCAUCUAUGUUUAUAUGAGAAAUUGGUCUGUAAUUUUCUUUCUUUGUUGAGUCUUUAUGUGGUUUGAGUAUCAGAGUAACUGUGACUUCAUAAAAUGAACUUGCCAAUAU
rnacentral:lncRNA from 1 species